UAAAUCCAAUCAAAUGUGUAAAUAUGUUAUAAAAAAUUAUUUUCCGUCUUUGUAACAUGUUUAAACACAGUACAUUGAAACAACGGCUUGUUAAUGCCGAGUACAGUUAGUGGAGGGGAGCCUAGCUAAACUGUACUCCGGUGCACUUAUAAAACUUUUUAUUAUGAGGAAAUACAGGCGGCUCUACGAGUUUUAUAGGAUUCACUCUCUCAGAAGCACAAUAGUUGCGCUUGGUUAAAGUUUUGAAUGGUACCGGUGCUGUUUGCAAAUGAGUUAGCGCCCGGAAAAAGGCUCUGUGUCAUAGUGCCAGCAAUUAGCCGGGUCCCUUUUCUUUAACCCGAGAGUGGAGCGCAUAAGCGAACAGGUGAAGAUAACAUUUUAUAGUCGAGUUGACUGUUAUUUUAACGAAGUGGCAUUCACGUGACUCGCAUAGAUCCCAAGCCUUUUUUCGGGGGUCGGUUGGUUGUUUUUAAAUCUUUCUAGGCUUGAAUUUUCAGAUAUAGAAGGGGACUCUGUGUCUUCAUAAUAAAACAUAUUUGAUGUUGUUGUUUGAGCGCAUUAAGUGUCCUUAUUUGGGCAAUCACAAUCAUGAAAGCAGCCACCCCAUUGAUAACAGCAGCGAAGAUGACCUCUUAUGUCAGCCAGACCGAUAUGGUUAUACUACUAACUAAAGUCAUUUAAGAAUACUGUUAAUAUGCUCACACAUCCUUUUUCAACCCUAACAGUUGUUGUUGUCCUGAUCCAUCUGAAGGACAGCGUCCUUAAAAAAAGGAGGAGAAGCACAAGAUGAUGGAGGUUGAAAUGCUGAAGAGGGACGCUGAUGACCAGCUGCUAGAACCUCUGAUGGUUGCUAAGUGUUCCCAGCACAGAAAAGAGAUUAUUAGAGAUCACCCAAACAUCACAGAGCUCAUUUCCCGAUGGCCAGCUAUGUUCAACGAGAGACACGACUUUGCAUUAAUUCCACCGAGAGAUUUAAUGAUAUGUUAAGACAGUAUGGACUGUGUCCUAUUGAGAAAUGUUUUAUUUUCUGUUUUAUCACUUCAGAUUAGAGCAGAAUUCAGGAGAAUCAUCACUACAGACCUUCUCAAAUCUUUUCUUGACGAACUUGAUGGCUGGAGGCAGACAAAGCAGCAACCAAGUCUGGAAAGAAGUCUCUCAAAGGCAUUUUGGACUGCCUUGUGAAAGAUGACACAAAUGAAAGGAGACAGGCUGCUGCUCUGCUUGGUUUGCCACUCUACAUAUCAGGGGAAGAUCCAUCAGCUGUCAUCAGGAUGUGUGAUGCUCAUGUUGACACUUUGGUUGAUGCCAUGAAGGGGAUGCAGCUUGGCCUCCUGAUAGCCUGUGAAGGUGGUGAACAGGAUCCCAUUCCACACGAGACCUUCGAUGUGGCAGUUGUGGUGGAGGAGACCAUUGUGCUUCACAACAUGAAAGAUGUGGCCCAGAGCUUUGCCAUGCUUAUGGGUGUCAUCUACUGUGUCAAUCCCAAGUACCCAGAUGACAUGAAGUAUUCCUUUGACUUUCUUCAGAGAGUGGUGAUGAAGAUCAGACCAGAGCAGGCUUUGGCUCGAGUACAUGGAUUGAGAAACAGAAUCCUGAGGUACAAACUGUAACAUUUAUGUUUUAAGUUUCAUUGUCACUUCUAGAAGGUGCUCUUGUAAAAAUUUGUUCAGUUCUUUUUCUAUAAACAAAAACUUUCAGUAUUGUGCUGAAAUGAUGUUCUUUACAAAAAAAACAUCCCUCUCAUCACUGUCAUUGUGAGAUUGCUAAGACAUUGAUCUUGUAGCACUUUAUUAUAUUGGACUGUUUGUGUGAUGAUGCUGAUUUUAUUGAGUUUGCGCUGCAAUUGUUUAAUGUUAAUGUUUACAGCACUUUAAGCAAACUUCUGUUAAAUGUGUUUUGUGAAUAUAUUGGAUUUAGAUCGUGUGGUUAGAAUGUUCUCAUUUAAUAUAGUCUAACUUUCACAUAUGUUGUCUUGGAGAUAAAUGUUCUGAUUUACACUCGCUUUAAGGCUCGUCAAAUCUGUGAAAACUGUAUUUGAUGAGAAAA